GGUCUUUAUCAGUCCGCCCCUUCGGGGAGCGGGUUGCUGGCCUCCUAUGUUCCUAACGGUCCUCAUCCGCGAGGGUGGGGAAUCAACCGCUAGGAUCGUUUACUUUGAGGAAAUUAGAGUGUUCAAAGCAGGCGUAACUCGCCUCCGAAUACGUUAGCAUGGGAUAAUGGAAUACGACUUCGGUCUUGUUUCGUUGGUUUCGCUUGGCUGAAGUAAUGAUUGAUAGGGACAGUUGGGGGCAUUAGUAUUUAGUUGUCAGAGGUGAAAUUCUAGGAUUUACUAAAGACUGACCAAUGCGAAAGCAUUUGCCAAGGAUGUUUUCAUUAAUCAAGAACGAAAGUAGGGGGAUCGAAGACGAUCAGAUACCGUCGUAGUCUCUACCGUAAACUAUGCCGACCAGGGAUCCGGAGAGUUUGCAUGGAUGACUCCCCGGGCACCUUGUGAGAAAUCAUAAGUGUUUGGGUUUUGGGGGGGAGUAUGGUCGCAAGGCUGAAACUUAAAGGAAUUGACGGAAGGGCACCACCAGGAGUGGAACCUGCGGCUUAAUUUGACUCAACACGGGGAAACUUACGAGGUCAGGACACUGUGAGGAUUGACAGAUUGAAAGCUUUCUUGAUCAGUGGUGGUGUGCAUGCUCUUAUUGUGAUGAUGCUGUAUCU
rnacentral:rRNA from 1 species